rnacentral:rRNA from 1 species
UACAGAGGUCCCGAGCGUUGUUCGGAUUCAUUGGGCGUAAAGGGUGCGUAGGCGGCUUCUUAAGUCUGAUGUGAAAGCCCCGGGCUCAACCUGGGAAUUGCAUUCGAGACUGCAUGGCUAGGAUGCGGAAGAGGGAAGCGGAAUUUCCGGUGUAGCGGUGAAAUGCGUAGAUAUCGGAAGGAACACCAGUGGCGAAAGCGGCUUCCUGGUCCAGCAUCGACGUUCAGGCACGAAAGCGUGGGGAGCAAACAGG